rnacentral:rRNA from 1 species
GAUGAACGCUGGCGGCGUGCUUAACACAUGCAAGUCGAACGGAAAGGCCCAAGCUUGCUUGGGUACUCGAGUGGCGAACGGGUGAGUAACACGUGGGUGAUCUGCCCCGCACUUCGGGAUAAGCCUGGGAAACUGGGUCUAAUACCGGAUAGGACAGUGGUUUGGAUGCCAUUGUGGAAAGUUUUUUCGGUGUGGGAUGAGCUCGCGGCCUAUCAGCUUGUUGGUGGGGUAAUGGCCUACCAAGGCGUCGACGGGUAGCCGGCCUGGGAGGGUGUACGGCCACAUUGGGACUGAGAUACGGCCCAGGCUCCUACGGGAGGCAGCAGUGGGGAAUAUUGCACAAUGGGCGCAAGCCUGAUGCAGCGACGCCGCGUGGGGGAUGACGGCCUUCGGGUUGUAAACUCCUUUCGCUAGGGACGAAGCGUUAUGUGACGGUACCUAGAGAAGAAGCACCGGCUAACUACGUG